GAGGAUGGUAUUCUUAUAAGUCAGCCUUUUCAUUAUUUUGGAUCAUUCUAAUGUCCUAAAAUUUCCAUGUGUCAACAAUCCGUUUUUCUUUCAAAGGAGACAAAGUUGAUGCCAAUAGACUUGAAAGUGUUUUCGAAAACUUGGGGAUUAAGCUCACACCUAAUGAACAUUUGAACUUGCUGAACACACUGCCACUUGAUGCUGAUGGAAAAGUGUAUAAGAAAAGGUUGAUGAAGGGCAUAAAGUCUCUCAAACGAGGCAGCGUUGAUGUCAAUAAGCUGGACACUCUUUUAGAAAACAUGGGAAUCAGCAUCACAGAAGGAGAAUUCAUGGAUCUGAUAGAAAGAUUGCCAGAUGAUG